AAUCAACGCUGGCGGCGUGCCUAACACAUGCAAGUCGAACGCGAAAGCCCGCAAGGGUAAGUAGAGUGGCGCACGGGUGAGUAACACGUGGACAACCUGCCUUCGAGUGGGGAAUAACCUUCCGAAAGGAGGGCUAACACCGCAUAACACCUCGGGACACAAGUUCUGGGGUUGAAAAGAGCAAUUUGCUCGAAGAGGGGUCCGCGCCUGAUUAGCUAGUUGGUGAGGUAACGGCUCACCAAGGCUUCGAUCAGUAGCCGUCCUGAGAGGGAGCACGGCCACACUGGAACUGAGACACGGUCCAGACUCCUACGGGAGGCAGCAGUGGGGAAUUUUGGCAAUGGGCGAAAGCCUGACCAAGCAACGCCGCGUGGGUGAUGAAGUAUCUUGGUACGUAAACCCUUUCGGCAGGGACGAACCUAAUGACGGUACCUGCGGAAGAAGCCCCGGCUAACUCCGUGCCAGCCGCCGCCGUAAG
rnacentral:rRNA from 1 species